rnacentral:rRNA from 1 species
GAUUAGAAACAAUGGCAUAUGGUGGAUGCCUUGACGCUAAAAGCCGAUGAAGGACGUAGCAGCCUGCGAUAAGCCUCGGGGAGGUGGCAAGCAACCUUUGAUCCGGGGAUUUCCGAAUGGGGAAACCCAUGAGUGUAAACCACUCAUACCUUGCGACUCUUCACCGCAAGGGGGGCACCUGGGGAAGUGAAACAUCUCAGUACCCAGAGGAAAAGAGAAUUAUUCCCUUAGUAGUGGCGAGCGAACGGGGAACAGUCUAAACCUUGUUUUCCUCAAGCAAAAGGUGGAGGUCGUCUGCCGAAAGGCAAGAUGCCUCGCCUUUUGUGGAGGUUGUCGGACCAAGUAGGAAGAUAGGGGGUUGUGAGAUAGAAACGUUUUGUUCCCGACAGAACAAAGCAAAGCAAACAUUCUUAGCCGAAGGGCUUGGAAUAGCCUACCAUAGAAGGUGAAAGUCCUGUAGGCGAAAAGAGUGUAUUGUUUUGCAGUUUCUAUUCUCAAGUAGUUCUCAACCGGUCCGUUGAGAACGAAUCAAGGCGGACUAUCGUCUAAGACUAAAUACUUUUAGCGAUCGAUAGUGAACUAGUACCGUGAGGGAAAGGUGAAAAGUAGCCCGGUGAGGGCGGUGAAAAGUACCUGAAACCAUAUGCUAAUAAAGAGUCGGAGUCCCGACGUUACGUCGGGAUAACGGCGUUCCUAUUGAAGAAUGAACCAACGAGUCCGAGUACAUAGCUUGGUUAAUCCUUUUAAAGGAAAAGCCAUAGCAAAAGCAAGUGUGAAAGCGCGCUUGUGAUUUUUCACAAGGUUAUGUGCUCGGGACCCGAAACCGGAUGAGCUACCCAUGAUCAGGAUGAACCCCGAUGAAGGUCGGGGGGAGGUCCGAACCCGUUGGCUGUGCAAAACCAUGGGAUGAAUUGUGGGUAGGAGUGAAAAGCUUAUCGGAUUCGGUGAUAGCUGGUUCUCUCCGAAAUAGCUUUAGGGCUAGCCUUCGGUGAUAGUUUUCGGGGGUAGAGCACUGAAAGGGUAGAGAUGGAGAAAUCCUACUCUAUCCUAUCAAACUCCGAAUACCGAAAACCUCAGCCGAGGAGUUAGACAGUGGGGGCUAAGCUCCAUUGUCAAAAGGGGAACAGCCCAGACCUCCAUCUAAGGUCCCUAAAUCUUCCCUUUUUCCUUUCAGGAAAAAGGGAUCCGCUAAGCCAUAUAGGCAAAGUGGAAGAUUAAGUGGGAAAAGCAGUGAGACGACCCAGACAACCAGGAGGUUGGCUUAGAAGCAGCCAUCCUUUAAAGAAAGCGUAACAGCUCACUGGUCAAGUUAUCUUGCGCUGAAAAUUUAACGGGGCUUAAAUCUAGUACCGAAGAUGAGGGCCCCGACGUUACGUCGGGGUGGUAGGAGAGCGUUCUUUCAGCGGUGAAGUCAAACCGUAAGGUUUGGUGGAGCUGAAAGAAGUGAGAAUGUUGGUAUGAGUAAUAAAAAUCUUGAUGAGAAUUCAAGACACCGCAAGUCCAAGGUUUCCCGGGCACUGAUUAUCAGCCCUGGGUUAGGCGGUCCUAAGUCCGCGACCGAAAGGUCAGGAUAAUGGACAGACGGUUAAUAUUCCGUCCCUUCUUUACUCUCCGAUGGGGUGACGUUUCCUCUUACUCUGAGCAUGAUCUGGCUAUUCGUGUCUAAGAAGAGAGUGGGCCUGCUUGGCAAAUCCGGCAGGUAAAAGCUUUCUUCGAAUGAAAUCCUCGCAAGAGGAAAUUCAGGGGUCGAGGGAACCAAGAAAAGCCUCUAAGGAUAAGGGUAAAGAAACCGUACCGCAAACCGACACAGGUGGACGAGGAGAGUAUCCUCAGGUGGACGAGAGAACCCUCGUUUAGGAACUCGGCAAAAAAGCGGUCGUAAGUUCGCGAUAAGGCCUCCCCGACGUCACGUCGGGGCGCAGCGAAAGUUUGUCAAGCGACUGUUUACCAAAAACACAGGUCCCUGCUUAAACCGUAAGGUGAUGUAUAGGGGCUGAUGCCUGGCCAGUGUCAGAACGUUAAGAGGAGGGGUGACCCCGACGUCACGUCGGGGAAGCUCUGAAUCUAAGCGCUGAUGAACGCCGGCGGUAACUAUAACCGUCCUAUGGUUCUUUUAGGAUAGAGCCAUAGUAAAAUCUGGCUAUAUGCUGGAAAGUCUGUACCUCUAAUGGUUGCAAAAUAAAUGUUACUAUGGCAUAAUUACCUUAUAGAAAUAAUUAUGUCUAGUAAAAAAACAUUUAUUGCAGAUAACCAGCAGGAAAGGCCCCGACGCAACGUCGGGGAAUCCUCAGAGACUAUACGCCAGAUCCCGACAUAACGUCGGGAAAGAUAUAGUCCGAUCUCACGAGCGAUCGUGAGUUAACAUAAAUAAACCGUCCUAUGGUAGCGAAAUUCCUUGCCGGGUAAAAUUUACGGCCGGUAAAAAACUUGCCCGGAUUCCGAUGUAAAUCGGAAUAAGUAUAUCAGCUCAUAACGGUAGAAUCCCGACGUAACGUCGGGACAAUACCGUGGGAAGUCCUCCGACAUAAGGUCGGAGUGACCCCGUAGAGACUUAAAGCUUAUAUGCUUUUGAUAAUAGGUACUCAAACUAUUACCAUACGCCACCUCCCGACGGUAACGUUGGGAUGAAGAUAUAGUCCAGACCAUUAGUAAUAAUGGAAAAACUACGAUGUCGGCCUAGCGCAUCCUGGCGGUGGAGAAGCUGCCAAGGGUUUGGCUGUUCGCCAAUUAAAGCGCUACGCGAGCUGGGUUCAGAACGUUGCAAAACAGUUCGGUCUCCUAUCUGCCGUGGACGUUCGAAACUUGAGGGGAUCCUUCGAUAGUACGAGAGGACCUCGAAGGACAAACCUCUGGUGUACCGGUUGUCGAGCCAUCGGCACUGCCGGGUAGCCACGUUUGGUGCGGAUAAACGCUGAAAGCAUCUAAGCGUGAAGCCGUCCCCAAGAUUAAGUUUCGUCUGAGGCUCCUGGGAGAUUACCAGGUUGAUAGGCUCCAGGUGUAAGGCUGGCAACAGCUUUAGCCAAGGAGUACUAAUAGCCGAACUCUAAUC